rnacentral:misc_RNA from 1 species
GGUAGUGUGGCGGCAGGC